rnacentral:rRNA from 1 species
GACAGAGGAUGCAAGCGUUAUCCGGAAUGAUUGGGCGUAAAGCGCACGUAGUCGGCUUUGCAAGUCGGGUGUGAAAUCCCCGGGCUCAACCUGGGAACUGCAUCCGAGACUGCAUUGCUAGAGUAUGGGAGAGGGAAGCGGAAUUUCUGGUGUAGCAGUGAAAUGCGUAGAUAUCAGAAGGAACAUCAGUGGCGAAGGCGGCUUCCUGGACCAAUACUGACGAUCAGGUGCGAAAGCGUGGGGAGCAAACAGG